AACGCGAAGAACCUUACCAGCCCUUGACAUCCCGGUCGCGGGAACGAGAGAUCGAUCCCUUCAGUUCGGCUGGACCGGAGACAGGUGCUGCAUGGCUGUCGUCAGCUCGUGUCGUGAGAUGUUGGGUUAAGUCCCGCAACGAGCGCAACCCUCGCCCUUAGUUGCCAUCAUUUAGUUGGGCACUCUAAGGGGACUGCCGGUGAUAAGCCGCGAGGAAGGUGGGGAUGACGUCAAGUCCUCAUGGCCCUUACGGGCUGGGCUACACACGUGCUACAAUGGCGGUGACAAUGGGACGCAAUGGGGAAACCCUGCGCAAAUCUCAAAAAGCCGUCUCAGUUCGGAUUGUGCUCUGCAACUCGAGCACAUGAAGUUGGAAUCGCUAGUAAUCGCAGAUCAGCACGCUGCGGUGAAUACGUUCCCGGGCCUUGUA
rnacentral:rRNA from 1 species